AACGAACGCUGGCGGCGUGGAUAAGACAUGCAAGUCGAACGAUUAUCAUCGGGUAGCAAUAUUCGGUGGUGAGAGUGGCGCAAGGGUGCGUAACACGUGGGUAAUUUGCCGUAAAGUCCGGACUAACUUGCUGAAAGGCGAGCUAAUACCGGAUGUGAUUGCUGGAGGGAAUCCUCUGGCACUUAAAGUCGGGGACCGCAAGGCCUGACACUUUUCGAUAAGCCCGAGGCCUAUCAGCUAGUUGGUGAGGUAACGGCUCACCAAGGCUAAGACGGGUAGCUGGCCUGAGAGGGUGACCGGCCACACUGGGACUGAAACACGGCCCAGACUCCUACGGGAGGCAGCAGUGGGGAAUAUUGCACAAUGGGCGCAAGCCUGAUGCAGCAACGCCGCGUGAGGGAUGACGGCCUUCGGGUUGUAAACCUCUUUUAGUAGGGAAGAAGCGAAAGUGACGGUACCUGCAGAAAAAGCACCGGCUAACUACGUGCCAGCCGCCGCGGUAAAAC
rnacentral:rRNA from 1 species